rnacentral:rRNA from 1 species
GAGUGGAGCUUGCUCCAUGAUUCAGCGGCGGACGGGUGAGUAAUGCCUAGGAAUCUGCCUGGUAGUGGGGGACAACGUUUCGAAAGGAACGCUAAUACCGCAUACGUCCUACGGGAGAAAGCAGGGGACCUUCGGGCCUUGCGCUAUCAGAUGAGCCUAGGUCGGAUUAGCUAGUUGGUGAGGUAAAGGCUCACCAAGGCGACGAUCCGUAACUGGUCUGAGAGGAUGAUCAGUCACACUGGAACUGAGACACGGUCCAGACUCCUACGGGAGGCAGCAGUGGGGAAUAUUGGACAAUGGGCGAAAGCCUGAUCCAGCCAUGCCGCGUGUGUGAAGAAGGUCUUCGGAUUGUAAAGCACUUUAAGUUGGGAGGAAGGGCAGUAAGUUAAUACCUUGCUGUUUUGACGUUACCGACAGAAUAAGCACCGGCUAACUUCGUGCCAGCAGCCGCGGUAAUACGAAGGGUGCAAGCGUUAAUCGGAAUUACUGGGCGUAAAGCGCGCGUAGGUGGUUCAGCAAGUUGGAUGUGAAAGCCCCGGGCUCAACCUGGGAACUGCAUC